UUUUAUUUAACGUCUAAAAAAGGGUCUCACACAAUUCGUUAAGAAGUUUUGGGUCUGUUUUAUCGCAAACCCUAGGUCAUGGCUGGGAUGUACAAUCAAGACGGCGGCGGAGGUGCGCCUAUCCCGUCGUACGGUGGUGAUGGUUACGGCGGAGGUGGAGGUUAUGGAGGUGGUGAUGCUGGAUAUGGAGGGCGUGGUGUCUCUGGCGGUGGCGGUUACGGCGGACGCGGUGGUUAUGGCGGUGGCGGUGGUAGUGGUAGAGGAAAUCGAGGUGGUGGCGGUGGUGGAUAUCAAGGAGGUGAUCGCGGUGGAAGAGGAAGUGGUGGCGGCGGCAGAGAUGGAGAUUGGCGUUGUCCCAACCCUAGUUGUGGGAACGUGAACUUUGCAAGGAGAGUUGAAUGUAACAAGUGUGGUGCACCUGCUCCUUCUGGUACUGGUGCUGGUUCUGGUGCUGGAGAUCGUGGCAGUAGUGGAUAUAGCCGAGGUGGAGGUGCCAGUGAUCGUGGGGGUGGUCGUGGAGGUAGAAACGAUAGUGGUAGGAGCUAUGAGAGUAGUAGAUAUGAUGGUGGAAGUAGGAGUGGUGGUAGCUAUGGUAGUGGUAGUCAACAGAGGGAAAAUGGUUCCUAUGGUCAGGCUCCUCCUCCUGCAGCUAUUCCAUCCUACGAUGGUUCUGGAAGUUAUCCUCCACCCUCUGGUUAUGGAAUGGAAGCUGUGCCCCCGCCUCCAAGCUAUUCUGGUGGCCCCCCGUCAUAUGGUGCUCCAAGAGGAGGUUAUGGCGGUGAUGCACCAAGCACUGGUGGUCGGGGUAGUAGGGGUGGCGGCUAUGAUGGGGGUAGUGCUCCUCGACGGCAGGAAGCUAGUUAUGAAGAUGUAGGCACUGAAGUCAAGCAGUGCGAUGCGGAAUGUGAUGAUACUUGUGAUAAUGCUAGAAUAUACAUCUCUAAUUUACCUCUGGAUGUGACUACUGAUGAACUCAAGGAUCUCUUUGGUGGCAUUGGCCAAGUUGGAAGAAUUAAGCAAAAGCGGGGUUACAAAGAUCAGUGGCCCUAUAAUAUUAAGAUUUACACUGAUGAGAAGGGUAACAAUAAAGGUGACGCCUGUCUGGCCUAUGAAGAUCCUAGCGCUGCACACUCUGCAGGCGGCUUUUUCAACAAUUACGAAAUGAGGGGGAACAAAAUUAGUGUAACGAUGGCAGCGAAGUCUGCGCCCCGUGCUCCUACCUUUGACCAGAGAGGCGGUGGUAGAGGAGGAGGAGGAGGAGGAGGGGGUGGCUAUGGUGGUGGUGGGGGAGACAGAAGAAGAGAUAACUAUGGUUCAGGGCCAGACAGAAACCAUCAUGGGGGAAACCGGUCUCGUCCAUAUUGAGAGAAAGAGAGGAAUCAGUGAAUCAGCUAUUAUGUGUUCUAAGAGUUUUGUGUGUUGAGGGGGGAAUUUUAGUAAAAUGUUCUAUGAGUCAUCAUAUUGGAGAUACAAAAAAAAAAGGAAGCUGACAUUUAACUGCAAAAUGCAUUACAAAUUGGUGCUAUGAUGAUUUCAGAAAUGGCAGGAGUGGGGGAUGGCUAGGCACUCGUCUGAUCAGUUGUUCUGAAGUCUGCAGUGACAUUUCAAAGAUUAACUUGAUUGCCAACAUACUCGCUGAGGCUUUUAGUUAGGUUCUCAUGAGUGGCCUUUUUUUUGGAUAAAAGACAAGGUGAUCAUCGUUCAAUCUAGAUCCCAAAGACUAAAGAGAAUGUGUCUCGUAAAAGUCUAGAUGUGUUUGCGACCAAUGAUUUUUGGUUGUGCCGUUGAGGGUGUUCCCUGUAAUGAAAUUUUAUGUCUUCAUUCAUGUAAAAAAAGAAAAAACCAAGCCAUUUUUGGAUGUUUCCGUGUACAGAAACUUCCAAAUGCAAGUCUAAUACAUCAACAGAAAUGAUUGAUGCCAAAAAUCCCAAAAACAUUUU